rnacentral:rRNA from 1 species
AUACGGAGGGGGCUAGCGUUGUUCGGAAUUACUGGGCGUAAAGCGCGCGUAGGCGGACCAGUCAGUCAGGGGUGAAAUCCCGGGGCUCAACCCCGGAACUGCCUUUGAUACUGCUGGUCUUGAGUUCGAGAGAGGUGAGUGGAAUUCCGAGUGUAGAGGUGAAAUUCGUAGAUAUUCGGAGGAACACCAGUGGCGAAGGCGGCUCACUGGCUCGAUACUGACGCUGAGGUGCGAAAGCGUGGGGAGCAAACAGGAUUAGAAACCCCAGUAGUCC